rnacentral:rRNA from 1 species
UGCUUAACACAUGCAAGUCGAACGGAAAGGCCCUGCUUUUGUGGGGUGCUCGAGUGGCGAACGGGUGAGUAACACGUGAGUAACCUGCCCUUGACUUUGGGAUAACUUCAGGAAACUGGGGCUAAUACCGGAUAGGAGCUCCUGCUGCAUGGUGGGGGUUGGAAAGUUUCGGCGGUUGGGGAUGGACUCGCGGCUUAUCAGCUUGUUGGUGGGGUAGUGGCUUACCAAGGCUUUGACGGGUAGCCGGCCUGAGAGGGUGACCGGCCACAUUGGGACUGAGAUACGGCCCAGACUCCUACGGGAGGCAGCAGUGGGGAAUAUUGCACAAUGGGCGGAAGCCUGAUGCAGCAACGCCGCGUGCGGGAUGACGGCCUUCGGGUUGUAAACCGCUUUCGCCUGUGACGAAGCGUGAGUGACGGUAAUGGGUAAAGAAGCACCGGCUAACUACGUGCCAGCAGCCGCGGUGAUACGUAGGGUGCGAGCGUUGUCCGGAUUUAUUGGGCGUAAAGGGCUCGUAGGUGGUUGAUCGCGUCGGAAGUGUAAUCUUGGGGCUUAACCCUGAGCGUGCUUUCGAUACGGGUUGACUUGAGGAAGGUAGGGGAGAAUGGAAUUCCUGGUGGAGCGGUGGAAUGCGCAGAUAUCAGGAGGAACACCAGUGGCGAAGGCGAUUCUCUGGGCCUUUCCUGACGCUGAGGAGCGAAAGCGUGGGGAGCGAACAGGCUUAGAUACCCUGGUAGUCCACGCUGUAAACGGUGGGUACUAGGUGUGGGGUCCAUUCCACGGGUUCCGUGCCGUAGCUAACGCUUUAAGUACCCCGCCUGGGGAGUACGGCCGCAAGGCUAAAACUCAAAGGAAUUGACGGGGCCCCGCACAAGCGGCGGAGCAUGCGGAUUAAUUCGAUGCAACGCGUAGAACCUUACCUGGGUUUGACAUGGAUCGGGAGUGCUCAGAGAUGGGUGUGCCUCUUUUGGGGUCGGUUCACAGGUGGUGCAUGGCUGUCGUCAGCUCGUGUCGUGAGAUGUUGGGUUAAGUCCCGCAACGAGCGCAACCCUUGUUCACUGUUGCCAGCACGUUAUGGUGGGGACUCAGUGGAGACCGCCGGGGUCAACUCGGAGGAAGGUGGGGAUGACGUCAAGUCAUCAUGCCCCUUAUGUCCAGGGCUUCACGCAUGCUACAAUGGCUGGUACAGAGAGUGGCGAGCCUGUGAGGGUGAGCGAAUCUCGGAAAGCCGGUCUCAGUUCGGAUUGGGGUCUGCAACUCGACCUCAUGAAGUCGGAGUCGCUAGUAAUCGCAGAUCAGCAACGCUGCGGUGAAUACGUUCCCGGGGCUUGUACACACCGCCCGUCAAGUCAUGAAAGUUGGUAACACCCGAAGCCGGUGGCCUAACCGUUGUGGGGGAGCCGUCGAAGGUGGGACUGGUGAUUAGG